rnacentral:rRNA from 1 species
GGUUAAGCGACUAAGCGUACACGGUGGAUGCCCUGGCAGUCAGAGGCGAUGAAGGACGUGCUAAUCUGCGAAAAGCGUCGGUAAGGUGAUAUGAACCGUUAUAACCGGCGAUGUCCGAAUGGGGAAACCCAGUGUGAUUCGUCACACUAUCGUUAACUGAAUACAUAGGUUAACGAGGCGAACCGGGGGAACUGAAACAUCUAAGUACCCCGAGGAAAAGAAAUCAACCGAGAUUCCCCCAGUAGCGGCGAGCGAACGGGGAGCAGCCCAGAGUCUGAAUCAGCUUGUGUGUUAGUGGAACGGUCUGGAAAGUCCGACGGUACAGGGUGAUAGUCCCGUACACCAAAAUGCACAGGCUGUGAACUCGAAGAGUAGGGCGGGACACGUGGUAUCCUGUCUGAAUAUGGGGGGACCAUCCUCCAAGGCUAAAUACUCCUGACUGACCGAUAGUGAACCAGUACCGUGAGGGAAAGGCGAAAAGAACCCCGGCGAGGGGAGUGAAAAAGAACCUGAAACCGUGUACGUACAAGCAGUGGGAGCACCUUCGGGUGUGACUGCGUACCUUUUGUAUAAUGGGUCAGCGACUUAUAUUCUGUAGCAAGGUUAACCGUAUAGGGGAGCCGCAGGGAAACCGAGUCUUAACUGGGCGUUAAGUUGCAGGGUAUAGACCCGAAACCCGGUGAUCUAGCCAUGGGCAGGUUGAAGGUUGGGUAACACUAACUGGAGGACCGAACCGACUAAUGUUGAAAAAUUAGCGGAUGACUUGUGGCUGGGGGUGAAAGGCCAAUCAAACCGGGAGAUAGCUGGUUCUCCCCGAAAGCUAUUUAGGUAGCGCCUCGUGAAUUCAUCUUCGGGGGUAGAGCACUGUUUCGGCUAGGGGGUCAUCCCGACUUACCAACCCGAUGCAAACUACGAAUACCGAAGAAUGUUAUCACGGGAGACACACGGCGGGUGCUAACGUCCGUCGUGAAGAGGGAAACAACCCAGACCGCCAGCUAAGGUCCCAAAGUCAUGGUUAAGUGGGAAACGAUGUGGGAAGGCACAGACAGCCAGGAUGUUGGCUUAGAAGCAGCCAUCAUUUAAAGAAAGCGUAAUAGCUCACUGGUCGAGUCGGCCUGCGCGGAAGAUGUAACGGGGCUAAACCAUGCACCGAAGCUGCGGCAGCGACACUAUGUGUUGUUGGGUAGGGGAGCGUUCUGUAAGCCUGCGAAGGUGACCUGUGAGGGUUGCUGGAGGUAUCAGAAGUGCGAAUGCUGACAUAAGUAACGAUAAAGCGGGUGAAAAGCCCGCUCGCCGGAAGACCAAGGGUUCCUGUCCAACGUUAAUCGGGGCAGGGUGAGUCGACCCCUAAGGCGAGGCCGAAAGGCGUAGUCGAUGGGAAACAGGUUAAUAUUCCUGUACUUGGUGUUACUGCGAAGGGGGGACGGAGAAGGCUAUGUUAGCCGGGCGACGGUUGUCCCGGUUUAAGCAUGUAGGCUGGUUGUCCAGGCAAAUCCGGAUAAUCAAGGCUGAGGUGUGAUGACGAGGCACUACGGUGCUGAAGUAACAAAUGCCCUGCUUCCAGGAAAAGCCUCUAAGCAUCAGGUAACAUUAAAUCGUACCCCAAACCGACACAGGUGGUCAGGUAGAGAAUACCAAGGCGCUUGAGAGAACUCGGGUGAAGGAACUAGGCAAAAUGGUGCCGUAACUUCGGGAGAAGGCACGCUGGUGUGUAGGUGAAGUCCCUGCGGAUGGAGCUGAGACCAGUCGAAGAUACCAGCUGGCUGCAACUGUUUAUUAAAAACACAGCACUGUGCAAACACGAAAGUGGACGUAUACGGUGUGACGCCUGCCCGGUGCCGGAAGGUUAAUUGAUGGGGUUAUCCGUAAGGAGAAGCUCUUGAUCGAAGCCCCGGUAAACGGCGGCCGUAACUAUAACGGUCCUAAGGUAGCGAAAUUCCUUGUCGGGUAAGUUCCGACCUGCACGAAUGGCGUAAUGAUGGCCAGGCUGUCUCCACCCGAGACUCAGUGAAAUUGAACUCGCUGUGAAGAUGCAGUGUACCCGCGGCAAGACGGAAAGACCCCGUGAACCUUUACUAUAGCUUGACACUGAACAUUGAGCCUUGAUGUGUAGGAUAGGUGGGAGGCUUUGAAGCGUGGACGCCAGUCUGCGUGGAGCCAACCUUGAAAUACCACCCUUUAAUGUUUGAUGUUCUAACGUUGGCCCCUGACCGGGGUUGCGGACAGUGUCUGGUGGGUAGUUUGACUGGGGCGGUCUCCUCCCAAAGCGUAACGGAGGAGCACGAAGGUUAGCUAAUCCUGGUCGGACAUCAGGAGGUUAGUGCAAUGGCAUAAGCUAGCUUGACUGCGAGCGUGACGGCGCGAGCAGGUGCGAAAGCAGGUCAUAGUGAUCCGGUGGUUCUGAAUGGAAGGGCCAUCGCUCAACGGAUAAAAGGUACUCCGGGGAUAACAGGCUGAUACCGCCCAAGAGUUCAUAUCGACGGCGGUGUUUGGCACCUCGAUGUCGGCUCAUCACAUCCUGGGGCUGAAGUAGGUCCCAAGGGUAUGGCUGUUCGCCAUUUAAAGUGGUACGCGAGCUGGGUUUAGAACGUCGUGAGACAGUUCGGUCCCUAUCUGCCGUGGGCGCUGGAGAAUUGAGGGGGGCUGCUCCUAGUACGAGAGGACCGGAGUGGACGCAUCACUGGUGUUCGGGUUGUCAUGCCAAUGGCACUGCCCGGUAGCUAAAUGCGGAAGAGAUAAGUGCUGAAAGCAUCUAAGCACGAAACUUGCCCCGAGAUGAGUUCUCCCUGAGACUUUAAGUCUCCUGAAGGAACGUUGAAGACGACGACGUUGAUAGGCCGGGUGUGUAAGCGCAGCGAUGCGUUGAGCUAACCGGUACUAAUGAACCGUGAGGCUUAACCUU